rnacentral:rRNA from 1 species
UACAGAGGGUGCGAGCGUUAAUCGGAUUUACUGGGCGUAAAGGGCGCGUAGGCGGUGAGAUGUGUGUGAUGUGAAAGCCCCGGGCUUAACCUGGGAAGUGCAUUGCAAACUGUCUGACUGGAGUAUAUGAGAGGGUGGCGGAAUUUCCGGUGUAGCGGUGAAAUGCGUAGAUAUCGGAAGGAACGUCAAUGGCGAAGGCAGCCACCUGGCAUAAUACUGACGCUGAGGCGCGAAAGCGUGGGGAUCGAACAGGAUUAGAUACCCUGGUAGUCCACGCUGUAAACGAUGAGUACUAGAUGUUGGUAGGGGAACCUAUCAGUAUCGAAGCUAACGCGAUAAGUAUUCCGCCUGGGAAGUACGGCCGCAAGGUUGAA